rnacentral:rRNA from 1 species
GGUGAACGCUGGCGGCGUGCUUAAGACAUGCAAGUCGAACGGCAGUCUUCGGACUGUAGUGGCGCACGGGUGAGUAACGCGUAACUGACCUACCCCAAGGUCGCGGCAACGAUUCGAAAGAAUCGCUAAUAAGUGAUGUGCUGUCAGAUUGUGUUCUGCCAGUAAAGAUUGAUUGCUGUGGGAUGGGGUUGCGUUCCAUCAGCUAGUUGGUGGGGUAAAGGCCCACCAAGGCGACGACGGAUAGCCGGCCUGAGAGGGUGGCCGGCCACAGGGGCACUGAGACACGGGUCCCACUCCUACGGGAGGCAGCAGUUAGGAAUCUUCCACAAUGGGCGAAAGCCUGAUGGAGCGACGCCGCGUGAGGGAUGAAGGUCUUCGGAUCGUAAACCUCUGAAUCAGGGACGAAAGACACUUCGGUGGGAUGACGGUACCUGAGUAAUAGCACCGGCUAACUCCGUGCCAGCCGCCGCGGUAAUAC